UACGGGGGGAGCAAGCGUUGUUCGGAUUUACUGGGCGUAAAGGGCACGUAGGCGGCGCAACAAGUCACUUGUGAAAUCUCCGGGCUUAACCCGGAGCGGUCAAGUGAUACUGUCGUGCUAGAGUGCGGAAGGGGCUACUGGAAUUCUCGGUGUAGCGGUGAAAUGCGUAGAUAUCUGGAGGAACACCGGUGGCGAAGGCGGGUCUCUGGGACGGUACUGACGCUGAGACGCGAAAGCGUGGGGAGCAAACGGG
rnacentral:rRNA from 1 species